AUACGUAGGGGGCGAGCGUUGUCCGGAAUGAUUGGGCGUAAAGGGCGCGUAGGCGGCCCGGUAAGUCUGGAGUGAAAGUCCUGCUUUUAAGGUGGGAAUUGCUUUGGAUACUGUCGGGCUUGAGUGCAGGAGAGGUAAGUGGAAUUCCCAGUGUAGCGGUGAAAUACGUAGAGAUUGGGAGGAACACCAGUGGCGAAGGCGACUUACUGGACUGUAACUGACGCUGAGGCGCGAAAGUGUGGGGAGCAAACAGGAUUAGAUACCCUGGUAGUCCACACUGUAAACGAUGAAUGCUAGGUGUAGGGGGUAUCGACCCCUUCUGUGCCGCAGUUAACACAAUAAGCAUUCCGCCUGGGGAGUACGGCCGCAAGGUUGAAACUCAAAUGAAUUGACGGGG
rnacentral:rRNA from 1 species